ensembl:lncRNA
AGGAGGAGCAGUUGGUACAGCUUUAUUGUAAUGACUUUCCAUAAGAAGGAGGUGAAUGUGGUCUAUCUGAGGCCAAUUUAAAAGUAAGGCUUUGGAAACCUGUUUGGAAAACUCCAUGCGCAGUCAGACUGCAAGAGUGUGUUGAAUAGGAUUCUCUGCACUUUUGCUCUGACUUGAUAUUAUUUGGUGUUUUCAUUAAUGACUUGGAUGGCAUAUGCUGAUCGAAUUGUAGGGAGCACCAAUAGGCUGAGCUAGCAUUCUUGGGCUAACUUCUGACUGAGUAAAAGGCACUGAGAAUUCAAAGUUAACUUGAUAAAUUUGAGUAGCAGUGAUGCAGUAAAUCCAACGGUGGAUUUGACAAAUGCAGAUAUUUGCACUUCCAAAGCAACAAUCAGCUGAGCAAUUACAGAAUGGCAUAGGACAGAGUACUAGGAUAGCAGUGGUACAAAAAAAUACCCUUAGGCUUAUAGCCAGUCACCAGCUGAACAUGGCAACAGUGUGCUGCUAAAAAAAAACAAAUACAAAUUGUUGUGGAAUGUGUGAAUAGGAAUGUAGUCUGCAAGAUGCAUGACAUGGUCCUUCUUCUUCAUAUGAUAGUAGGAGAGCCUUUCUUGGAUUAUGGUAUCCAGCUGUAGGCACUGCACUUCAUGGAAAAUGUGGAGCAACUGGAGAUAACCCAGCAAUGAGAGGGAUGACAGGAUGGAAGACCAGGCUUGUUUCAAGGAGUACUUCAGCACUCCCAAAUUCCUGACUGAAAACCUGCAAAAUACAUUCCUGUUGCGUGAAGUGACAACGUGUGGGAUUACUGUAUACAACUUACUGAUAAUUCUUCCUUGUGUGCACAAGUGCACUGCAGUGAUACUGCAAUUGGAGCUACCGAUCUUUUAU